AUUGAACGCUGGCGGCAUGCUUUACACAUGCAAGUCGAACGGUAACAGGCCGCAAGGUGCUGACGAGUGGCGAACGGGUGAGUAAUGCAUCGGAACGUGCCCAGUCGUGGGGGAUAACGCAGCGAAAGCUGUGCUAAUACCGCAUACGAUCUAUGGAUGAAAGCGGGGGACCGUAAGGCCUCGCGCGAUUGGAGCGGCCGAUGUCAGAUUAGGUAGUUGGUGGGGUAAAGGCUCACCAAGCCAACGAUCUGUAGCUGGUCUGAGAGGACGACCAGCCACACUGGGACUGAGACACGGCCCAGACUCCUACGGGAGGCAGCAGCGGGGAAUUUUGGACAAUGGGCGCAAGCCUGAUCCAGCAAUGCCGCGUGCAGGAAGAAGGCCUUCGGGUUGUAAACUGCCUUUGUACGGAACGAAACGGUCUGGGUUAAUACCCUGGGCUAAUGACGGUACCGUAAGAAUAAGCACCGGCUAACUACGUGCCAGCCGCCGCCGUAAAAC
rnacentral:rRNA from 1 species